AAUGGAGGAAACUCUGAUGCAGCGAUGCCGCGUGAGUGAAGAAGGCCUUUGGGUUGUAAAGCUCUUUCGUCGGGGAAGAAAAUGACUGUACCCGAAUAAGAAGGUCCGGCUAACUUCGUGCCAGCAGCCGCGGUAAUACGAAGGGACCUAGCGUAGUUCGGAAUUACUGGGCUUAAAGAGUUCGUAGGUGGUUGAAAAAGUUGGUGGUGAAAUCCCAGAGCUUAACUCUGGAACUGCCAUCAAAACUUCUCAGCUAGAGUAUGAUAGAGGAAAGCAGAAUUUCUAGUGUAGAGGUGAAAUUCGUAGAUAUUAGAAAGAAUACCAAUUGCGAAGGCAGCUUUCUGGAUCAUUACUGACACUGAGGAACGAAAGCAUGGGUAGCGAAGAGGAUU
rnacentral:rRNA from 1 species